rnacentral:rRNA from 1 species
AUUGAACGCUGGCGGCAGGCCUAACACAUGCAAGUCGAACGAGUGGCGGACGGGUGAGUCAUGUCUGGGAAACUGCCUGAUGGAGGGGGAUACCUACUGGAAACGGUAGCUAAUACCGCAUACCAUCAGAUGUGCCCAGAUGGGAUUAGCUUGUGGGUGGGGUAAAGGAUCACCAAGGCGACGAUCCCUAGCUGGUCUGAGAUGGUUACAAGGCACAACGGAACUGAGACACGUUCCAGACUGCAACGAGAGGCAGCAGUGGGGAAUAUUGCAGAAUGGGCGCAAGCCUGAUGCAGCCAUGCCGCGUGUAUGAAGAAGGCCUUCGGGUUGUAAAGUACUUUCAGCGGGGAGGCGUUACCCGCAGAAGAAGCACGGGCUAACUACGGGCCAGCAGCCGCGGUAAUAC